rnacentral:lncRNA from 1 species
AAACAAUGAACCAAAUGCUUCCUGGAGGACCCUACUUUUAAAGAUUCUGCCCCUAGUCAGCAUUACCAUGCUCGGAGCUAACCUUCUAGUACACGUGGACUUGCAGAACCACCUGUGCUGAAAACACAGCAUGACCCUUUAUAGAAGAACUACAAGGGAAGUGAUAUCCAGAGAGUGACAAGAUGCUCUGAAGGGAGAUGGACCACAGCAUGGGAAGGAAAAUGUGCUGUUUUAAAAGGUCUAUUAAAGAGUGUGCUCAGAUUCAGAAUGGUAAAUGGUGCAAGCUCAUAGAAGAUGGAACUGCAAGAGGUGAUUAUGCUGUUAGAAGAGAUAUUAGACUGAAGGUAUAGGAA